GUGUGCGCCUGUCUCAAGCGUUCAUCUGGCUCUCUUUACUACUCAUUACCUAUUUAAGACUAAAACACAGUUUCAACUUAUAAAUAGUCAUCAGACAAACCAGUGCUGGGAUCUAAGAUGCUCUGUAAACUCACCCGUACUCAGGAAGGCUGCAGAUUGCUCAUCACCAGGGGAGGUUAGCAGAUUGCUCAUCACCAGGGGAGGUUAGCGGACAGUGGAUGCUACUGUAAAAAUCACAAAGGGUCUGAAGAGGAGGCCGUGGAUCCUGGAUGGAGUCGAAUCCAUUUCAAUCAAUGUCACCAAUUAAUAAUAAGACAAUUAGCAAGUGAUAUAAUACCAAAUUCCUCUCUCCCGCUGAAUAACUUUAACCUCGAACCCGGCCCCACUCCUGCUGCUGAAGCUGCCAGAGGAGCUGUUGAAAGAGUUUUUUUUUUAAUGCGAGCCGGCGUUCAGUCUACCAGUCUGGUUUAGAUCAGCCUGUCCAACAUGGAGAGGAACAGAAUGCGCACACAGACGGACCUGCAGAAGAUCACAGCAGAAACACGCUUACCCGCUUACUCCUUAUUUGACCGAGCACAGUGUCAUUGUGUUUCAACCACUUCCCUUUCUGCUUGACUGCCCUUCGUUUCUGGAUGUGGGAUUAUAAAAAAAAAAGGAUUAGUGUCAGGUAGUUUUAGCGUCCAGGACAACAGUAUUUGUUUGGAAUGUUAUGAAAAAAACGUAAAAGUAACAAUAGUGAAACAAAUUGUCCUGUAUAAGUACAUUGGGAGCAAAUCCUUCAACAUAUUCUGAUAUUUAACUGCCACAACGACAUAUUUUUGGGGUGUCUUCAAGGUUUUUUAUUAUUGCUGCAGAGAAUAAGCUGUCUGCGGCCGCAGGGGGGCAGAGGGGAGCGCUCAAUUUCCCUCGUGGGACAUCCCGGAAAAGAUCACAGAUGCAAUAUUUAGUGAGUCAAGGCCUGAGACAAAAGUUCAGAGCAAUGAAAUACAAACGUUUCCAUGCGCUUAUGUCAGGGGUUAUCUUUUGAAUCUGGCAUUAUUUAUCACAGGUAUUUAGUUUCCUUAAAAUCAAAAUGUCCCUGCAUUGUUAUGUGAACAGACGGAUGCGUGUUUAUGGCGCAGAUGCUGAAUGCUCAACUGGGUAGCGCAUUCCUAAUUUAAGAGAGACAUCUGGGGACUUUUCGGCAGUGACAAAAAUCCUCACGUCAACUAGAGACAUGUUUGUACCGCAGAGGAGUUGUGUUUAAUCUGUGUGUUUGUGUGUGUGUCUAGUUUGAUGAUCCCUGUACAUUUUUACACCAGUCCUUUAAGCUUUCUUUUGAUCAACAUAUAUUUAUAUUUACAGUAUUUUUACUUGAGUAAAAUAAACUUCACACACAAAUAUGAUAAGGGACCAGAUAAACAAUGUCUAGAAUCGUGUUGCCCCAGUGCAUGCUGGGAUAUUUUACACUGUACACUCCUGAGAAGGGUUGAAAGUUGUCCUAGUUUUACCUUCAUCUCACGUCUCGACUUCAUGCAUCCCUAAACGCACACUACAAAUGUCCAACAAAUGAUUAAUGAACUAGAACCAGACCAACUGAGGUCCCCACUUUUCCUUCCUUUUAAAUAGAUGACAAUAAAAUUGACAGAAAAUGUGUCUACCAUGGGUACUACACUACUCAGGGCCGUAGGGGCAUUUCAAAGGCGCCAAUAAUGCGUUGCACUGCACUUUUUAGUUUCAUUAUCCUGAAUUUUCAAAGUUGGUGACUCAUUUUUGUGAUUAUUCCAGAAGUACAUAAAUCUCACAAUGUUAAUAACCGGCAAACGUUAUGCUGUGGCCGUAAAAACAAGCAACUGCGCAGGCCAGAUGUGUAGGAUCUUGUUGUUUUUGGUAGUUUCUGGGGAUUUCUUUGCAAAGGAGGAACUCAUGCACCUGUAAAAUGUGUUGAAUGUGCAGUGAGGUGCAUCCACCCGUGUCUUCAUUUCAGGAAUGGCUCAAUGAAACCCAACAAAGUUGCCAUGAAAGUUUAUGUUGCGGAUAGGAAAACUACCCAAGCACUGCCUUUCCUACUCCAUGGUUCAGUGUGACCCCAUUAAUUGUGAAUGUUGCACUCUCAAUGUCACUCUGACUUGUGCUCGGAGGAGCCAAGCAUCUUUUUGGUGGAGAUUGUUAAUUGAGGUAGAAACAUAGUUGGAGGAGGAUUACUUGUUCCCUGCCUGCUACCGAAAAAGUAAUUCAAAUAAAAACAUCAUUGAGCUCA